GAGCAUUGGUCGGUCACUCUUCACCUUCAUGGUGAGUCAUUUGCGUUCAGCCUGAUAAAGGAGUAAGGAAAAAUGCGCUCAGUUUGCUUCUUGUUGAAUGUGCUGAAAGCUGAGUGCUAAACGUGUUUGUGUUGUUCGACCACUAUUCUGCAGUAGCAACUGUUUUAUAUUUAUAAAUUGUAGAAGAGCCACCAUGUCUGUUUUCAGCCAUAUUGGCGGCUGAAGCGUGCACCAAUCACAUGUACUAUACCAUGGUAGAUGGAGGGGUGAGAUAGUGAGGAAACAACAUAGAGUGGUGCCAGAAGUAGCAUCGCGGAACAUUGGAUUCCAGUGAAUGGUUACAACACUACAUAAAGAACGUUAAGAAUUGGCAACAAAGCAGUGCGGCUGCCGAUGCUUCUACCAGAGGGUUUCUGAACAGACUGAGGUCUCCCUGCUUACCAACAGACCUUCUUUGCACUGAUUGGUCACUCACAAAGAGCAGAACUCGACUCGACAUAUGGACAAACACAAGGAAAACACAAAUAAUGAGCAAAAAAUUUGUUAACAUACCUUCAAGAGUGCUUGGUCUCUCCAACGACUUUCUAGGUUCACCCAACUUCACUUCAUGUUCUGUCGCACCUGGAGUUGUGGGUUCUAACGCUGCACCUUCAGCAAAGUUUUCUCUCAACACCUGCAUUACCUUAGAGAAAUCUUCUUGACUAAGUGUUAUCUGAAACAGAAAUAAAGAGAGAUAAACAAUCAAA